rnacentral:misc_RNA from 1 species
AAGUCGUAACAAGGUUUCCGUAGGUGAACCUGCGGAAGGAUCAUUAAUGAGUAGGUGCUCCGGGCCCGACCUCCAACCCUUUGUUGUCACAAAACCAAUUGUGCUUUGGCGUGGACCGCCCGCGAGGGCUGCCGGUCUUAGGCCCGGCAUGCGCCCGCCAGAGGCAAAACCAAACUCUUGUUUAACCAAAACCGUACAGUCCUGAGUAAAAAACUGAUUCAAAUCAAUCAA